UUUUUUUAAUCGGACUACGUUUCCUAGAAAACCGACAGUAAAACGAAAUAUUACAAUCGCUUAUUGUGCACAUAACACGAUGCAAAACCCGCAAAAAACGCACACCGCUCCUAUAUAUAUAUAUGUAUAUUUAUAAUUUUAAUUAGUUUCGUGUGUUUUUCGCGAUACAUACGUGUAUGUAGGCAUUAAGAACGGUUUUGCUCUGUCUCGAUUUUCACUUUUUUUGGUCGAACAUGUUUACCUUCGUGUAUAUACAAACUCUCGGCACUAGAUAACUGCAAGACUUUUACGAUUUACAUUCAAUUUGAACUUAAAAUGCGUUAAAAAAAAAAACUUCAUUUCGUUCAAUUUUUUGAAUUUGGGUCCGGAACAUAGUGAAGAAUAAUGUAUAAGUUUUACAAUGAUGUUU